UGGUGGAGUAAUUUGUGUGGUUAAUUCCGAUAACGAACGAGACCUUAUCCUACUAAAUAGUUACGGCGAUACUUUUGUAUCAGCGGGAACUUCUUAGAGAGCUAUCGGUGUUCAACCGGUGGAAGUUUGAGGCAAUAACA
rnacentral:rRNA from 1 species